AACCUUUCCGCCAUAGGCUUCACAUUACAACUCAACUAGAAGAGCUCAACUCCCACUUUCAAAUCGUAUUUUGUAGCAAUUAAUUGAGUUAUACAUUUUUUAAAAAGUCAAAUCAAAACUAAUUAAAAUCCUCAAACUCCGCGACCUGGACAACUUAAACAGUGCAACAAUUCUCCUUAACUGAGCAACAUAAAAACAAGUUGUUUCCCCACUGAAAUCGCGAGUGCCGGAGAGUGAGGAUAGUUGCUGCAAGGAAUGAACUCACAGAGAAAGACACUUCUUCUGGGUGAAUUAACAAGUUGAAGAGGAAUCUGGAUCAACAUCAAAGUCUAUACCAUAUGCAUUGUGGACAGAACUGACUUUCAAGCCAAAUAGCCGCUUAUUGUUCUGGAUUCACCUUGGUUCACAACACAACAAAACAUGUAUUUCUAUAGAGCCAUGAGUGUAAUAAACUGUCCCAUUCCUGCACAGGAAUGUUAUAAAGCAAAAAAUUGUCAGCAAGACACAAAAAGCAGAUGUUAGGUUAGAUGAUCCAAAGCAAGGUCAGAGGGGUAAAGAGUGCUGUAGAGGAAAGGAAGAGAGACAGAGAGCUUAAUAGAUGGAUGAUGACAAAACUAAUGUUUGAGCAAUUAAAAUAAUGGAUGCUCUUGAGGUUAAAGGAUUAAAGUCAUGAAAAAAUUGAAAACUAGUCAAUAUGAGCUCCACAUCACAAACAGUCCCAAUCAGUGUGAGCUCCACAUCACAAACAGUCCCAAUCAGUGUGAGCUCCACAUCACAAACAGUCCCAAUCAGUGUGAGCUCCACAUCACAAACAGUCCCAAUCAGUGUGAGCUCCACAUCACAAACAGUCCCAAUCAGUGUGAGCUCCACAUCACAAACAGUCCCAAUCAGUGUGAGCUCCACAUCACAAACAGUCCCUAUCAGUGUGAACUCCACACCACAAACAGUCCCUAUCAGUGUGAGUUCCACACCACAAACUGUCCAAAACUGCUGCCGGUCAUUCCAGCCAUUCAGUUGAGGAUAUCCAAUAUGAAUUGGUACACAAUGGAGAUUCAGCCAGUCAGGGAAAAUCAGGUACUCUCUGAAGUUAAAUCCUAUCUGUAAAAUGAUAGGUGUACUCUGCCCUUGUUUCUUGUCUUGCCUUUAUUUCAAUGUUACAUCACAAUAUGCAGAAUACAGUCAGUCCCAGGCAUAAGCUCUUCAGUUACAUAGCUUUAAUAAAAUCAUUCCUUUUUAAACCUUUAAAUCUACUGCUUAUUUCCUGUAGCUCUGAAUGAUUAUAAAUUUGUGAAUUACCUUAUUUUGUGCAUCACCCUUUAUUCAGUUUGUGUGACGCUCAGCAAUCUUAGCAGCUUCCAGUUUCAACUUGUGGUAAAUGAGUUUUCAAGCUGCUAAUUGAAUCAAUUACUUGGUCAGGGCCUCUAUCUUCUGCUAAUUUAAUCAAUUGUUAAGGUGAUUACGGCCUUCUAUUUUCUGGAAUCAAAAAUAUGGAGAUUAAACGAACAAGAGAAAUUCUAACCA